rnacentral:rRNA from 1 species
UACGUAGGGUGCGAGCGUUGUCCGGAAUUACUGGGCGUAAAGAGCUCGUAGGUGGUUUGUCGCGUCGUCUGUGAAAUUCCGGGGCUUAACUCCGGGCGUGCAGGCGAUACGGGCAUAACUUGAGUACUGUAGGGGAGACUGGAAUUCCUGGUGUAGCGGUGAAAUGCGCAGAUAUCAGGAGGAACACCGGUGGCGAAGGCGGGUCUCUGGGCAGUAACUGACGCUGAGGAGCGAAAGCAUGGGUAGCGAACAGGAUUAGAUACCCCUGUAGU